rnacentral:rRNA from 1 species
ACGCUCGACACCUACGUGAGGCAGCAGUGGGGAAUAUUGCACAAUGGGGGAAACCCUGAUGCAGCGACGCCGCGUGAGCGAAGAAGUAUUUCGGUAUGUAAAGCUCUAUCAGCAGGGAAGAAACUGACGGUACCUGACUAAGAAGCACCGGCUAAAUACGUUCCAGCAGCCGCGGUAAUCUGAGCGGGCUGGCAAGGC